UAACACGUAGGGGGCAAGCGUUGUCCGGAUUUAUUGGGCGUAAAGAGCUCGUAGGUGGUUCGGUAAGUCGGGUGUGAAAACUCUGGGCUCAACUCAGAGACGCCACCCGAUACUGCUGUGACUUGAGUCUGGUAGGGGAGUGUGGAAUUCCCAGUGUAGCGGUGAAAUGCGCAGAUAUUGGGAGGAACACCAGUGGCGAAGGCGGCACUCUGGGCCAGUACUGACACUGAGGAGCGAAAGCGUGGGUAGCGAACAGGAUUAGAUACCCUGGUAGUCCACGCCGUAAACGUUGGGCACUAGGUGUGGGUCUCAACCAACGGGAUCCGUGCCGCAGCUAACGCAUUAAGUGCCCCGCCUGGGGAGUACGGCCGCAAGGCUA
rnacentral:rRNA from 1 species